UACGGAGGAUGCGAGCGUUAUCCGGAUUUAUUGGGUUUAAAGGGUGCGUAGGCUGAAUAUCAAGUCAGCGGUGAAACGUUACAGCUUAACUGUGACCGUGCCGUUGAAACUGUUAUUCUGGAGUGCGAGCGAGGUAGGCGGAAUGUGCCGUGUAGCGGUGAAAUGCAUGGAUAUGGCACAGAACUCCGAUUGCGAAGGCAGCUUACCAGUACGCUACUGACGCUGAGGCACGAAAGCGUGGGUAUCGAACAGGA
rnacentral:rRNA from 1 species